rnacentral:lncRNA from 1 species
UGGUUCUGGAGUAGCGCCACUCUGUGCAGUGGACAGAGGGCCUCUGGUUCGUGCCUGCAGGGUCUUUUUCCCUUGGGGAGGGCAAUACCUCCUCUUUCCACCAUACUCAAGGUGUUCUCUCCCAGUGUAGCCCUGAGAUUGCUACCAAGCCUAGGGACGGCUCCCUCCCCACCAGGCGUGGGAGGUGGCAGCUCUGGUCUAGAGAAAGUAUGGCAACCUUGAAAAUUCUGUUUUUUUAGCUUCUAAGGCUGUUUUGCAAAGUAGAAACUGGCUCUCUGGACAUCUCCUUGGUCUGUGGUCCGGACAGGUUUUCUCAUAUCCAAAUACACUUCCCACAGCCUCUCUCUCUCUUCCUUUCGUUUCUCCACCAAAGGGCUUCCCCGACUCCAUGCCUGCGCUGCCCAUUUUCUUUCUCCCAAUUCGCAUACGCACCCUUCUGUCCUGCCAAUGCACCUGUGGAGAUUUUCCUGUCCCUCUGCAGCCUGUAUCGCUGGUAUUCCAAGUGUUGUGACCUCAAUACUGCUGUGUUUGAGGGACAAGGGAAAUUCUGAUCCCCCUCCUCUGCCAUCUUAACUCCUCCCGCCUCCUUUUACUUUCCUUUUCACAAUUUCACAGUUCCGUGUAGGAUUGCAUUAUUCUAUCAGUUUAAUAUGUUUUAUAGAUAUUUAUGAUGGGCUUUUCUUACUUGAACUUCAUUGAUCUGCAUUUUCUUGUUUUUUUUUUUAAAUUUAUUCAUUUAUUAAUUGGAGACAGAGACAGAGAGAGCACACGUGGGGAGGGGUAGAGAGACAGAGGGUGAGAGAGAAAAUCCCAAGCAGACCCUGCACUGUCAGCGCAGAACCAGACGGGGGGCUUGAACCCUUGAACUGUGAGAUCAUGACCGGAGCCAAAAUCAAGAGUCAGGUGCUAACUGAAUGAGGCAUUCAGGCGGCCCUAACAUUUUCUUUGGAAGUCCCCUGGGCACUUUAAAUUUAAUAUGCCCUAGUUUGUAGACAUUGUUUCUGACCCUUUCCCUUUCCUCUUUCCUGACUCUUUGUAAUCUGUUCUUUCAUUUGUGUUCCCUAGCCUAAUAAAUAGCAGCCCUGAAACA